rnacentral:misc_RNA from 1 species
GAUGAGGAACGCAGCGAAAUGCGAUAAGUAGUGUGAAUUGCAGAAUUCAGUGAAUCAUCGAAUCUUUGAACGCACAUUGCGCCCCUUGGUAUUCCAUGGGGCAUGCCUGUUCGAGCGUCAUUUCAACCCUCAAGCACAGCUUGGUGUUGGGACUCGCGUUAAUUCGCGUUCCUCAAAUUGAUUGGCGGUCACGUCGAGCUUCCAUAGCGUAGUAGUAAAACCCUCGUUACUGGUAAUCGUCGCGGCCACGCCGUUAAACCCCAACUUCUGAAUGUUGACCUCGGAUCAGGUAGGAAUACCCGCUGAACUUAAGCAUAUCAAUAAGCGGAGGA